rnacentral:rRNA from 1 species
CGGACGGGUGAGUAACGCGUGAGUUACCUGCCCUGCAGCGGGGGAUAGCCCGCCGAAAGGCGGAUUAAUACCCCAUGGUCCCGCAAGGGUAAAGGCGGCGCAAGCUGCCACUGCAGGAUUGGCUCGCGGCCUAUCAGCUUGUUGGCGGGGUAACGGCCCACCAAGGCGGCGACGGGUACCUGGUCUGAGAGGACGAUCAGGCACACUGGAACUGAGACACGGUCCAGACACCUACUGGUGGCAGCAGUCGAGAAUCAUUCACAAUGGGGGAAACCCUGAUGGUGCAACGCCGCGUGGAGGAUGACGGUCCUCGGAUUGUAAACUCCUGUCAUCCGGGAGUAAGACCUGGCUGUGAAUAGCAGACAGGGUUGAUAGUACCGGAAGAGGAAGGGACGGCUAACUUCGUGCCAGCAGCCGCGGUAAUACGAAGGUCCCAAGCGUUGUUCGGAAUCACUGGGCGUAAAGGGUGCGUAGGCGGCAUGGCAAGUCAGAUGUGAAAUCCCGGGGCUCAACCCCGGAACUGCAUCCGAUACUGCCGUGCUUGAGGACCGGAGAGGAGACUGGAAUUCUCGGUGUAGCAGUGAAAUGCGUAGAGAUCGAGAGGAACACUCGUGGCGAAGGCGAGUCUCUGGACGGUUCCUGACGCUGAGGCACGAAGGCCGGGGUAGCGAAAGGGAUUAGAUACCCCUGUAGUC